rnacentral:rRNA from 1 species
UACGGAGGGAGCUAGCGUUGUUCGGAAUGACUGGGCGUAAAGGGCGCGUAGGCGGAUGGCACAGUCAGAUGUGAAAUUCCCGGGCUUAACCUGGGGGCUGCAUUUGAUACGUGUUGUCUUGAGUUCGGAAGAGGGUCGUGGAAUUCCCAGUGUAGAGGUGAAAUUCGUAGAUAUUGGGAAGAACACCGGUGGCGAAGGCGGCGACCUGGUCCGACACUGACGCUGAGGCGCGAAAGCGUGGGGAGCAAACAGG